GAAAGGCGCUGGGCGAAAGUCCCCGGGUACCGACGCAGAGAGUGCGAGCCCGCAAGGGCCGGACCCCCAGACGCGGCGCGCGGGCGAAGAGGCUCCUUCGGGGGCG
rnacentral:RNase_MRP_RNA from 16 species